AUUGAACGCUGGCGGCAGGCCUAACACAUGCAAGUCGAACGAGUGGCGGACGGGUGAGUAAUGUCUGGGAAACUGCCUGAUGGAGGGGGAUAACUACUGGAAACGGUAGCUAAUACCGCAUACCAUCGGAUGUGCCCAGAUGGGAUUAGCUAGUGGGUGGGGUAAAGGCUCACCUAGGCGACGAUCCCUAGAUGGUGUGAGAGGAUGACCAGCCACCCUGGAACUGAGACACGGUCCAGACGCCUACGGGAGGCAGGAGUGGGGAAUAUUGCACAAGUGGCGCAAGCCUGAUGCAGCCAUGCCGCGUGUAUUAAGAGGGCCUUCGUGUUUUAAAGUACUUUCAGCGGUGAGGCGUUACCCGCAGAAGAAGCACCGGCUAACUCCGUGCCAGCAGCCGCGGUAAUUC
rnacentral:rRNA from 1 species